rnacentral:rRNA from 1 species
GGAUUAAUUUGUUGGUCGUGCCUUGGUACGUACUGGUAUUAUUGAUUCCUACCUUCUGAAGAGCCUCGAUGUCAUUAAUUUGGUGUCUUGGGGAAUCAGGACUGUUACUUUGAAAAAAAUUAGAGUGUUUAAAGCAGGCUCGCGCUUGAAUACAUUAGCAUGGAAUAAUGAAAUAGGACGUUUGAUUCUAUUUUGUUGGUUUCUAGGAUCGACGUAAUGAUU